rnacentral:rRNA from 1 species
UCCCGUACACCAAAAUGCACAGGCUGUGAACUCGAAGAGUAGGGCGGGACACGUGGUAUCCUGUCUGAAUAUGGGGGGACCAUCCUCCAAGGCUAAAUACUCCUGACUGACCGAUAGUGAACCAGUACCGUGAGGGAAAGGCGAAAAGAACCCCGGCGAGGGGAGUGAAAAAGAACCUGAAACCGUGUACGUACAAGCAGUGGGAGCACCUUCGGGUGUGACUGCGUACCUUUUGUAUAAUGGGUCAGCGACUUAUAUUCUGUAGCAAGGUUAACCGUAUAGGGGAGCCGCAGGGAAACCGAGUCUUAACUGGGCGUUAAGUUGCAGGGUAUAGACCCGAAACCCGGUGAUCUAGCCAUGGGCAGGUUGAAGGUUGGGUAACACUAACUGGAGGACCGAACCGACUAAUGUUGAAAAAUUAGCGGAUGACUUGUGGCUGGGGGUGAAAGGCCAAUCAAACCGGGAGAUAGCUGGUUCUCCCCGAAAGCUAUUUAGGUAGCGCCUCGUGAAUUCAUCUUCGGGGGUAGAGCACUGUUUCGGCUAGGGGGUCAUCCCGACUUACCAACCCGAUGCAAACUACGAAUACCGAAGAAUGUUAUCACGGGAGACACACGGCGGGUGCUAACGUCCGUCGUGAAGAGGGAAACAACCCAGACCGCCAGCUAAGGUCCCAAAGUCAUGGUUAAGUGGGAAACGAUGUGGGAAGGCACAGACAGCCAGGAUGUUGGCUUAGAAGCAGCCAUCAUUUAAAGAAAGCGUAAUAGCUCACUGGUCGAGUCGGCCUGCGCGGAAGAUGUAACGGGGCUAAACCAUG